rnacentral:tRNA from 1 species
CGGGCUGUAGCGUAGUUUGGUUAACGCGCCGGUCUGGGGGACCGGAGAGCGGGAGUUCAAAUCUCCCCAGCCCGA